rnacentral:rRNA from 1 species
AGGCCGACAGGCGUAGUCGAUGGGUAACCAGUUGAUAUUCUGGUACCGGCUUGUCACCGUCCGUGUCGAGGUGUGUGAUGCUAAGCAUGUGAGCUUGUCUUGGGAGUGUUUUUGAUGCUUCUGGGGUGGGUGAGUGUGUGAACCGAUCAUGUAGUAGGCAAGCUGCGGAGGGACGCAGUGAGGUAGCUCAUCCCCGGUGAUGGUUGUCCGGGGCUAAGUGUGUGGACUGUCUGGUAGGUAAAUCCGCUGGGCGUGAAGGUUGAGGCAUGAUGGGGAGCCCAUGGUUGUGGGUGAGUGAGUGAUCCUGUACUGUCGAGAAAAGCUUCGUGAGCGAGGUGGCGGGUCCGCCCGUACCCUAAACCGACACUGGUGGAUAGGUAGAGUAUACCGAGGCGAUCGAGUGAAUCGUGGUGAAGGAACUCGGCAAAAUGCCCCCG